CAACAACAAUCAGGAAGCCUGCAAAACAAAACACAAGCCUGGAGGACAGCUAUCUUUAUUUCAACCAAACCAUAGUUGCUGAUUGCUGGAACAGUUGAAAGACUAACCAAGACGUGUUUGGUGGAGCCCGGAGAGCGGGGAGGGAUGGCUGUCCACGUAAAAAACAGAAGCAAGGGGCCGCUGGGAGACAGAGAGGAAGAAACCUGAGGGAGUCACAACCACACACACAAAUGGAUGCCCUCUUCACUCACACCUGAGGAACCAGGAGCACCGCACGUUUCAAACCCGGCUCAGCGGUUGCAGAGAUGCUAAAAGAAGCGAGCAGACGGAAGGAAAGAGUGAG